rnacentral:rRNA from 1 species
AGAGUUUGAUUAUGGCUCAGAACGAACGCUGGCGGCGUGCUUAAUACAUGCAAGUCGAACGAGAAAGGCUGACUUCGGUCGGCCCGGUAAAGUGGCGAACGGGUGAGUAACACGUGGGCAAUCUACCCUUUAAUCUGGGAUAAUCCUUCGAAAGGAGGUCUAAUACCGGAUAACACCAUAGGAUGGCAUCAUCUAGUGGUCAAAGGCGGAGCAAUCUGCCGUUAAGGGAUGAGCCCGCGCCCCAUUAGCUUGUUGGUGAGGUAACGGCUCACCAAGGCUUCGAUGGGUAGCCGGCUUGAGAGAGUGAUCGGCCACACUGGGACUGAGAUACGGCCCAGACUCCUACGGGAGGCAGCAGUAGGGAAUAUUGCGCAAUGGACGAAAGUCUGACGCAGCAACGCCGCGUGGGUGAUGAAGCAUCUUGGUGUGUAAAACCCUGUCAGUGGGGAAGAACCAUAUCGGUAGUAACUGACCGGUAUCUGACGGUACCCACAGAGGAAGCACCGGCUAACUCCGUGCCAGCAGCCGCGGUAAUACGGGGGGUGCAAGCGUUGUUCGGAUUUACUGGGCGUAAAGGGCGCGUAGGCGGGCCUUCAAGUCGGAUGUGAAAACUGGUAGCUUAACUACCAGCCUGCAUUCGAUACUAGAGGUCUUGAGUAUGGAAGAGGAAAGCGGAAUUCCAGGUGUAGCGGUGAAAUGCGUAGAUAUCUGGAAGAACACCGGUAGCGAAGGCGGCUUUCUGGUCCAAUACUGACGCUGAAGCGCGAAGGCUAGGGUAGCAAACAGGAUUAGAUACCCUGGUAGUCCUAGCGGUAAACGAUGGGUACUAGGUGUC